CUUGGUCAUUUAGAGGAAGUAAAAGUCGUAACAAGGUUUCCGUAGGUGAACCUGCGGAAGGAUCAUUAAAGAAUGCCCCGUUUUUUGAAAUGGGUUCUAUUCCCAAACCGUGUAUACAUACCUUUGUUGCUUUGGCAGGCCGCCUUCGGGCGUCGGCUCACGCUGACCGCGCCUGCCAGAGGACCCAAACUCGUUUGUUUAGUGAUGUCUGAGUACUAUAUAAUAGUUAAAACUUUCAACAACGGAUCUCUUGGUUCUGGCAUCGAUGAAGAACGCAGCGAAAUGCGAUAAGUAAUGUGAAUUGCAGAAUUCAGUGAAUCAUCGAAUCUUUGAACGCACAUUGCGCCCCUUGGUAUUCCGAGGGGCAUGCCUGUUCGAGCGUCAUUAUGACCACUCAAGCUUAGCUUGGUAUUGGGGUUCGCGGUCUCGCGGCCCUUAAAAUCAGUGGCGGUGCCAUCUGGCUCUAAGCGUAGUAAUUUAUCUCGCUAUUGGGUCCGGUGGUUGCUUGCCAAUAACCCCCAACUUCUAAGGUUGACCUCGGAUCAGGUAGGGAUACCCGCUGAACUUAAGCAUAUCAAUAAGCGGAGGA
rnacentral:rRNA from 1 species